rnacentral:tRNA from 1 species
GGUCGAGUGGUGGAAUUGGCAGACACGCGGGACUCAAAAUCCCGUGCCGUAAAAAGCAUGAGGGUUCAAGUCCCUCCUCGACCA